CUCUCUUAGGAAGAAGGAAGUGGCAAGUGCCAUGCAGAGGAUGCUGUCAGAGAGCUACUCUUUAAGGUUACUACAGGAGGCCAGGGAAGCCAAGACACAGAUUCUGGUGUCUGAGACCUGCAGGAGUUUGGACUAUAUGGAUACGAAGUUUGACCAAGUGUUGUCCCUGCAGCAGCUAGACAAAAGCAAAGCCAUUAGUCAGAUCCUUC